GACAGGAGAGGAGAGGAGAGCUGUCUAGUAAGGACAGGAGAGGAGAGGAGAGGAGAGGAGAGCUGUCUAGUAAGGACAGGAGAGGAGAGGAGGGCUGUCUAGUAAGGACAGGAGAGGAGAGGAGGGCUGUCUAGUAAGGACAGGACAGGAGAGGAGGGCUGUCUAGUAAGGACAGGAGAGGAGAGGAGGGCUGUCUAGUAAGGACAGGAGAGGAGAGGAGGGCUGUCUAGUAAGGACAGGAGAGGAGAGGAGGGCUGUCUAGUAAGGACAGGAGAGGAGAGGAGAGGAGAGCUGUCUAGUAAGGACAGGAGAGGAGGGGAGGGCUGUCUAGUAAGGACAGGACAGGAGAGGAGGGGUGUCUAGUAAGGACAGGAGAGGAGAGGAGGGCUGUCUAGUAAGGACAGGAGAGGAGGGGUGUCUAGUAAGGACAGGAGAGGAGAGGAG
rnacentral:lncRNA from 1 species